GGUUAUCUCUGUUGGAAGAUGUUUAUAGGCUUCUGAAAAAAUAUAGUUUCUGUAUACUUUAGACAGUUCCUUGAGUUCUGCUGAAAAAUAAGGUGACUACCCAGAGCCUUACUUUUAAAUUUAGUUAUAUUUUGGUUCAUAUUCAGAAGGAUUUGAGGACCUAAAAAGAAGGCAGCCACAGUAAGAUAAAUAAAAUGGUAAUGAAAAAGAAACUGAGUUUUUUGGCAUUGUGGUGGUAAAAAAGAAAACAAAUGAGCCAGCAGUAAGGAGAACAAAUAUUUUUACUGUGACUGAACAUAAAACACCUCCUAGCUUCUCGGCAACCAAGGGUGAAGGAAACACUAAAAGUUGAUAAUCUCAGUAGCAGAAGGGAAAGAAACAGUUGGAAUAUUGUCCUUUUUGGCAGUGUUGAAAGUGCUUAAUGGUCUAUUACACUGACUCUAGGGAGAAGGGCCAAAGGUGUUUAAUCCUAGUAUAUAAUGUUAACCUAUUACUUAGAUACCUAGCCAAUGUUCUUACCCGAGUGAAAGGUUUGCAUCACUUCAGCACAGAAGUGAGUAGCAGGGAUAAAUGUAGACAAAGCCAGGAUUUUCCCAAGAAACGGUUUUAUAUUCACUGUAGCCUUGAAGAUGUCUUGGCUGAAAAAUGCUCAGAGCAAGCAUUUGCAGUGUUGUGUGUCUCAUGCAGUUUUAGAUUGUAAGGUUUUGCAGCAUCCCACCAGGAUGAAUUAGCAGUCUCAGGAGGUCCUUAGGGAAUUGAAUGACAUUACAUACUAAAUUGGGGUUAUUUGAUACUGGGCAUUCAGUCCUUGAGGAAAGUCUUGUAAAGGUAGGUUAUAGCUUGAUUAUGCUUAAUUGUUCUUCCUUCUAUGAGGUGAUAGUAGGAGUCCUAGUUACAAUGAAUAAAACACAUUGUCAGCAUGUAGAAAGUAUAUUAUUCUUUCCAUUCAUUGUAGCAGUUCAUUUCAUUUUUAAGGUGACCAGGGCCUAUCACACAUUUUGUUUUGAUCCCUAAUAUGUAUAGACUGUUCAUAGCUAUACUUAUGUAUUUGUUUGUUCAUUCUUUUAUUCUAAUUCAUUCAGUACCCAUUUUGCACUUGGAACUGUGUUAGGCAGAAUGAAAAUGAAAUGAUCUUCAGAGAUCGUAUUAUAGAAUUUAUCAAGCAACAGAAUAUAGAAUUUAUUCAGCAAGAAAAGACACCUGUUUUUAGAUUUUACCUUUUUAGCUGGUUGUGGUAUGUAAUACAGCAUGUUUGCUUCAUGUUUUAACAUCCAUGGUUACGGAUUGUACGCGUAUUGAAGUGUUUUAAAGCAUUUUGAAAUCCUUUCUUUUCACACAUUUUUCCACUGGAAUUUAUGAAAAUAAUUUUAUUAAAAGUUAAAAUAGCUGUAUACAUAAAAGAUAUUAACCUAUUUUAAUUUCAUUAGAAGUGCUUCACAUCAAAGUACUCUUGCGCUAUUUCUGCUUGUAGUUUGGCCCCUUCAUUGGCCCAAAGAUGCCUGAUGGUGAACACUUCUUAUGCCAAAUGGCUCACAGCUCUCCCUCUGCAAGCGCCCUCAACAAGACUGGGAAUUAGAGGCAGUUCUUGUGCCAAGCCCCACAGAACCUACCCUUCCUCUACCUUCUUUCUUCACUAUAGCAUCUCCUGCUUUCAUUCACUCUUCUUAGAGAUCCAGACCUUCCCCUUCAUCCUCCUUUUCAUUACAAGAUGGGCAGAAUGAAAAACAGCCAUUUGUACUUUGAAACAUUUUCAUGAAGUUUGUUAGCUCUACCAGUGGAUUUUUAAUCCUGUGGUAGUGGAAUAAAAGAUUUGACUUCACCCAGCAAACCUAAUGGAUAAAACGUCUUUAACUCUGCUAAAUGAAUUUCAGUCACAAAGAAAGAAACAGAAGUAAUCUUUGGUGCGUUACAUAGAUUGGGCAACAGUGUUUAAUGGUAUGCCCAAGUUAAUCCUUAGUGUAAACCUGUAGUCAUUUUAGUAUUCAUGGGAGUUGGUGGAAAGGAAGCUCUGUAAUCUCCCAUGUGAUCUCCCUUGCUCCUCUGGAGAGAAAGUCUAGUGGUCCAGGGGAAUGCAAAGGGUAUUGAAUCAGAUGAAGAUUUGAUAUUUUUCUCCAUGUACUUGCUCUUUGUCCUUGGCAGGUUACCUAAACUUUCUCUCCCAGCGUGGAUUUCCUUGCAUAUAAAGUGGAACUCCUAAUCGUUGCCACUUGAGCGGUUAUAGAGAGGUUGCCUCUUAGAGGUUUACUGAUCUUUAAGUCCUCAUUUUCCCACCUCCUCAGGGUCAGUGCUUUCCAUGUUAGUAACUCCUGCAAAUAUGAGGGGAGCGCACAGCUUUGCCUCUUGUGCAUUGGUGAUUGUGCCACGGUUUUAUAACUGGGGUUUAAAAAGUGAUACAUGCUCAAUUAAGACAAUUUUUAGGAAAUACAGAAAACAAAGCUGAAAUUAUCUAUAGUCUUACAACUUAAAGACAACUCUUAACUCUUUGCAUAUUUCCAUGCAGACCUUUAUUAUUAUUUUUCUCCAUUUUUAUAAUUAUCUUGCAAAUGUGAAUUUUUUAUCUUACUUUCUUGUAAGAUAAGCUUUUACUUAUAUUCUCAUAUUGUGACCAAUUGUGACUUAUUAUCCUGUUAUUCUUUCCUUAUUAAACAUCCUUAGAAGCAGGAUUUGCCAAGUUAAGGAGUAGGAAUGUUUUAAGGCUAUUUGUUACUGUUAUUUGUUAUUAAAUGUUUGUUUUAUAUAGCAUAGAUUACAAAGUGUUGGGUGUAAAAAUUGAGUUUACCUUAGUUUUUGUCUUCUAGCAAUUUUUAGCUUAGUGGGGAAGAUGAUAUAAUUAUGUAAAAAGUUACAUAACCUUGGGAAAAAUUAGCAGUUAUUUCCAGAUGUCAGUGGAGGAGGUGUUAUUAGACAGUAGGAUGAAAUGUAUGUAUGUAUGCCAUAGAAAUUAAAAUAGGAACGGGAUUGUCCACUACAUGCUUGGUUUUAUUUUGCACAUCACAGCAACCUUUUAUGGUUGGUGGGGUCCCUAUGUUAUAAGAAUGGAAACCAAAGCCAAGAGACAGAUGGUCACUCUGAUAGUAAUUGGUAAAUCUAGGAUUCAAAAAUCUGAUUCUAAAUCCAGUGUGACCAGCUAAGAACUUUUUGGCUUUUGUGGCAGUUUCAGCCUUUUAGAGACCUUUUUUGAUGAUCAUAUUCUUGACCAUCGUCUGGAUUGGGCCUUUUUUUUUUUUUCAUGUGUGAUAAUGGAGUAAGUGGGAUAUUGUUAUCAUAAUACACUCAUGGGCAAGUCAGUUUUUAGAUGUCUCUGAUUAAUUGCCCUUUGGAGUAAAGAUAUAGUGUGGUUAGAAUGUGCCUUCAGAGAAUCCAGCCCACAGGAAGCAACUUUGAGUUUAUGAUUUUUCCCUACCAAGAAUGUGCAUAUAUGGGGAUAUAUGCACAUAUAUGGGGGACACUUAAGUCUGGUUUAAAAUACAGAACACUUAUAAUUUUACAUUUUUAAUGGUAAUCAUGUUUUUAAGUAUUUUGGGGAUUUUGUUUUGUUUUAGAUUAUUUUUAUUAGAAGUAAGCCCCUAACAUUUUGGAUUCCUUUGUCUUUCUCCCAAUUUUUUAUUAUUUUAUAGAAAUCUUCUUCCUAUUACUCAUGUGUGUAUAGAAGAAGGAGAAAAGCCCAUGGUGAUAUUGCCUUACAUGAAUUGGGGGAAUCUUAAAUUGUUUUUACGACAGUGCAAGUUAGUAGAGGCCAAUAAUCCACAGGCAAUUUCUCAGCAAGACCUGGUACACAUGGCUAUUCAGAUUGCCUGUGGAAUGAGCUACCUGGCCAGAAGGGAAGUCAUCCACAAAGACCUGGCUGCCAGGAACUGUGUCAUUGAUGACACACUUCAAGUUAAGAUCACAGACAAUGCCCUCUCCAGAGACUUGUUCCCCAUGGACUAUCACUGUCUGGGGGACAAUGAAAACAGGCCAGUUCGUUGGAUGGCUCUUGAAAGUCUGGUUAAUAACGAGUUCUCUAGCGCUAGUGAUGUGUGGGCCUUUGGAGUGACGCUGUGGGAACUCAUGACUCUGGGCCAGACGCCCUAUGUGGACAUUGACCCCUUCGAGAUGGCCGCAUACCUGAAAGAUGGUUACCGAAUAGCCCAGCCAAUCAACUGUCCUGAUGAAUUAUUUGCUGUGAUGGCCUGUUGCUGGGCCUUAGAUCCAGAGGAGAGGCCCAAGUUUCAGCAGCUGGUACAGUGCCUAACAGAGUUUCAUGCAGCCCUGGGGGCCUACGUCUGACUCCUCUCCAAUCCCACACCAUCAGGAAGAAGGUGCCUGUCGGGGCUCACUUGAAGCCUGUCAGGGAUGCUUUGUAUCUAACACAACGCCAACAGAAGCACAUUUGUCUUCCAGAACACCGUGCCUUAGAAAUGCUUUAGAAUCUGAACUUUUUAAGACAGACUUAAUAAUGUGGCAUAUUUUCUAGAUAUCACUUUUAUUAGGUUGAACUGAAAGGGUUUUUGUAAAUUUUUUGGCCAAAAUUUUUUAAAACAUACUUACUUUGGACUAGGGGUACAUUCUUACAAAAUAAAUAAACAGUUUUUAAAAUUGUUUAGACACAGAUAUUUGGAAUUAGCUAUCUUAGUGCCAACUGCUUUUUAUUUUUUUACUUCUUCAAGGUGAUGUAAGUGACUCACCUUUAAAGUUUUUUUAGUGUUAUUUUUUAUCACUACUCUGGGAAAUGGUUUGUCUUCAAGAUGCAAUACUUUUCUUAGUAAAGGAAAAACAGCAUAAAAAGAUACCUGGUCUGCCUUGUACAAGAAAAGGCAAUAUUAGAGGAAGAAAAUUUAAAGAAAAGCUAGAGGAAAAAAAAAAUUUUUUUUUAAUACUUUUUAGAAGCAAAUUGCCCUUGCAUGGAAAACUGUUUAUUUUUUUCAGUGAAAAGGAAUUCUGCUUUCGUGUUUUUGGGAAAGCAGGAACUGAGUUCAUUACAUCUUUAAUUUGGCAGAAAUUAGCCUUUCUGUGAACCAGACGUGGUUUGGGGCAGAUCUGUAGUAAACAAUGGUGAUUUUAUUUAUUUUUACUCUCUGGAAAAGGAGAUAAUACAAUUCCAGAAAGUGAACUCAUAUUUCUAAGGUUAAGAUUCCCUUUUAUUGCACCUAGAAUAGUGCUAUGCACAGAGCGGGUGCUUGAGUUGUUGUCUUUUUUUUUAAAUGUAAACUGAUAAAUUUUGUGCUUAUCUUCAAGGCUGGCUUAAGUAUAAAAUUGUUUUUUAAACACUUGAAAAAUUAAAGGAUUUGUUUUAUAUU
rnacentral:sRNA from 1 species